UACGGAGGGAGCUAGCGUUGUUCGGAAUUACUGGGCGUAAAGCGCGCGUAGGCGGCUUUGCAAGUUAGAGGUGAAAGCCCGGAGCUCAACUUCGGAAUUGCCUUUAAAACUGCAUCGCUUGAAUCCGGGAGAGGUGAGUGGAAUUCCGAGUGUAGAGGUGAAAUUCGCAGAUAUUCGGAAGAACACCAGUGGCGAAGGCGGCUCACUGGACCGGCAUUGACGCUGAGGUGCGAAAGCGUGGGGAGCAAACAGG
rnacentral:rRNA from 1 species